rnacentral:rRNA from 1 species
CCUACGGGAGGCAGCAGUGAGGAAUAUUGGUCAAUGGACGAGAGUCUGAACCAGCCAAGUAGCGUGAAGGAUGACUGCCCUAUGGGUUGUAAACUUCUUUUAUAUGGGAAUAAAAUGUUCCACGUGUGGGAUUUUGUAUGUACCAUAUGAAUAAGGAUCGGCUAACUCCGUGCCAGCAGCCGCGGUAAUACGGAGGAUCCGAGCGUUAUCCGGAUUUCUUGGGUUUAAAGGGAGCGUAGGUGGAUUGUUAAGUCAGUUGUGAAAGUUUGCGGCUCAACCGUAAAAUUGCAGUUGAUACUGGCAGUCUUGAGUACAGUAGAGGUGGGCGGAAUUCGUGGUGUAGCGGUGAAAUGCUUAGAUAUCACGAAGAACUCCGAUUGCGAAGGCAGCUCACUGGACUGCAACUGACACUGAGGCUCGAAAGUGUGGGUAUCAAACAGGAUUAGAUACCCCGGUAGUC